rnacentral:rRNA from 1 species
GACGAACGCUGGCGGCGUGCUUAACACAUGCAAGUCGAACGCUGAAACAGGAGCUUGCUCCUGCGGAUGAGUGGCGAACGGGUGAGUGACACGUGAGUAACCUGCCCCUGACUCUGGGAUAAGCGCUGGACACGGCGUCUAAUACUGGAUACGACCUAUAACCGCAUGGGGUGGGGGUGGAAAGAUUUAUCGGUUGGGGAUGGGCGCGCGGCCUAUCAGCUAGAUGGUGAGGUCAGGGCUCACCAUGGCGACGACGGGUAGCCGGCCUGAGAGGGUGACCGGCCACACAGGGACUGAGACACGGCCCAGACUCCUACGGGAGUCAGCAGUGGGGAAUAUUGCACAAUGGGCGAAAGCCUGAUGCAGCAACGCCGCGUGAGGGAUGACGGCCUUCGGGUUGUAAACCUCUUUUAGCAGGGAAGAAGCGAAAGUGACGGUACCUGCAGAAAAAGCACCGGCUAACUACGUGCCAGCAGCCGCCGUAACAC